AUGGCAAGAUCGGGUGAAACUGUGACCCUGCCUAAGGAGCAGGGCCGGCUCUCCAACCCCUGACCUUAGGGAGGGGCCGUGACCCCGGAGUGCACCCAUCACUAAGGAGGAGGCUCAGCAGAGAGGCUCCUCUAAACAGGGAAGGCCCUGGAGAAGCCGAGUCUGCCUGUAAAAAAAGCGGUGGUUGUCAGCUGCUCUUGGGGGAGCAGGGAACCUGAACUUGAACCUAGGUGGUGGUCUACUGCCCUGUGUCUGUCUGUCUGUGUCUGUCUCUCUGUCUCUCUGUCUUUCCCCGCCCCCCCCCCUCUCCUUUUUUAAAACCAGGUCACACUAUGAAGCCCUAAAUGUCUUCUACUGGCUAUGUAGCUAGCUCCAGGACACACAAAGGAACCCUGUCUCAAAAAAAAAAAAAAAAAAAAAAAAGUGUGUGUGUUGGGUGCUUUGCCUGCCUGUAUGACAUCACCUGGGUGCAAAGUCCAAGGAGUCCAAAGAGGAUGUUGGAACCCAUGGGACUGGAGCGUGACUCGGAGAGAAAGCUGGAGAAUGCUGGAAAUCAAACCAGGGUUCCCUGGAAGAGUAGCCAGUGCUCUUAACUGCUUAAAUAUUUCUCCAGCCACAAGAAAAUACUCUUAACCUGUAUCUGCUGCUUUUCCCCUCCUUUUUGGUUUUGAUUUGGGGUGAUUUGUUUGUUCGUUUUUCAAGAUAGGGUUUCUUUGUGUAGCCCUGGCUGUCUUGGAACUCUCUUGUAGACCAGGCAGCCCUUGAACUCAGAGAUUCACCUGUCCCUGCCUCCUGAGUUCUGGGAUUAAAGACAUGUGCUACCACUGUCUGUCAUCUUUUUCCUCCUUUUAAAAAAGAGAUAUAUUUUAUUCUUAUCAAAGAAAUACUCGUAAUAAUACCCAAGAAGGAAAGAGUAGGUUGAGAGGAGUUUGGAGGGUGGGGAUGAAUUUUAUCAAAGUGCAUUAAUACAUGUAUGAGAUCCUCAAAGAAUUAACAAGUAUUAAAUUUAAAAUGGAACGUGUAGAGCUGGAGAGAUGGCUCAGAGGGUAAGAGCACCAACUGUUCUUCCAUAGGUCCUGAGUUCAAUUCCUAACAACCACAUGGUAGCUCACAUCCAUCUGUAAUGGGAUCUGAUGCCCUCUUCUAGUGUGUCUGACAGCUACAGUGUACUCACAUACAUAAAAUAAAUAAAUCUUAAAAAAAAAAAAAGGUAAGGAAAAAUAGCCCAUUUACUUUAAAUCGAUAAGUGAAGCAGACAUGCCAUUUUCAGUGUGGGGAUUGGAAAGUAUAGUAAGAAUUGAGUCUGCCAUCAUGGUGACACACCCCUUAAUCCCAGCACUCAGGAGGCAGAGGCAGGUUGAUCUCUGAGUUAAAAACCAGUCUGGUCUAUAUAGAGAGUUCCAGGCCAGAUGUCUGUCUCAAAAAAAUAAAUGAUCCAAUAGUAUUAUUAUAUCUUUUUUGAGAGAGAGAGAGAGAGUGGCACAGGGGGGCCAAAAGAGGGUAUUGGAUCCCCUAGAAUAUCAGUUGCUGAUAUUGUAGCCUUCCAUGUGGGUGCUGGGAACUAAACCCCACUUUUCUCCAAGAGCAGCAAGUGCUCUUAAGUGCUAAGCCAUCUCUCUAGUAAAUUGGACUGAAACACAUGACACUUGUUCUAUGUCAGCCCUCCUGGAGCUGGGACCACCGGAGCUGGGACCACCGGAGCUGGGACCACCGGAGCUGGGACCACCGGAGCUGGGACCACCUGGAGCUGGGACCACCGUGUCUGACUUCUCUUCAGUGGCAACACCUUUUUCGUGCCAUCCUGAGAUAUGGUUCAUAACCCAUAGGAUCUACGUGCACCUGCUUUUAAAUUUAUUUUUGUGUGUUGGAUCAGGGAGGAUGCUUGGCAGAACAUAACUUGAAGGAGUCUGUUCUCUUCUACCAUGUGGGUUCCAAGGAUGGAACUCAGGUUGUCAGUGUUGGUAGCAAGCACCUUGUUCCCCCUGAGACUUCCUGUCAGCCCUGAUUUACCCUUUAAUAUAUACAAUUCAGUGAGUAUUAAUAUACUCUUGGGGUUGUGUCAUCAGCAUUAUGCAAUUUUUGGACAUUUUUACCUUCAAAGGAACUCUUUUUCUUUUUCUUUUCUUUUCUUUCUUUCUUUCUUUUUUUUUUUUUUUUUUUUUUUUUGGUUUUUGUUUGAGACAAGGUUUUCUCUGUAUAGUCCUGGCUGUCCUGGAACUCACUUUGUAGACCAGGCUGGCCUCGAACUCAGAAAUCUGCCUGCCUCUGCCUCCCGAGUGCUGGGAUUAAUCAAAGGAACUCUUAUACACAUUAGUAAUCAUACCUAAUUCCUUCAACAGCUGGCAACCGCUAACCUACUUUCUGUGGUUGUGUCUGUUCUGAGCAUAUACAUGGAUCCAAUUAACAUGUAGUCUAUGCAUAUUCACAUGUAAAUAAAGGUUAUUGUAAU
rnacentral:lncRNA from 1 species